UCCUGUCUUGUUGUUUGAUCUUAAGGAUUCUCUGCAAACAUUUCAUCUGAAAUGUAAAUCUUGUAUUUCUUUGAUGAGUUGUUUGUGACUGAGAACUCAACCCCUGUACAUCUCUGCUUUGGUAGAUGUUCUGAGCUGUUUAUUCUCCCAUACUUAAUAAACCUUGAGAGUGUGGUAGCUGUUUUGCAAGAGCACUUGUGUUAGGCUCUAUAAUCUUAGUCUUAGGUCCUCCUGUGCCGUGUGGCGCAUUGGGUGGCACGGUGAAUCACAAGUGGCACUCAAUGAUAACGUCAUGGAAUGGACGGGCAUCAGUUCAGUGAUGUAUCUUGUCAUUGGUAAUGUGGUUCUCAGUAUCUGCCAGAGGUAUCAUAGCUGAAAUGCAUUGAUCCUUCGUGUGAUCUUUGCUGAUGUCUUCCAUGUUUCUGCCAUGUUUAUUGCCAGUGGUAUGACGAUUGUGUUAAAGAGGCACACUUUGGUCUUGGUGGCAAUCGCCCUACCUGCUCAGAUGGGUUUGAGUCUUUGAAAGACAGUUGAGGCCUUCCCAAUCCGGCAGGCAAUGUCGCGUUCAGCGUCUCCAUCAUUCGUCACGAUGCUGCCGAAAUAUGUGAACUCAUCAACUUCCUCGAUUUGCUGCUGUCCAAUCAUCAAGGGGACGCCAUUGUUGUUCUCAUCAACAUAUCCAAUCCUCAUGAUCUUUGUCUUGUUUGCACUUAUACGGAGUCUAAUCUUGGCCACCUCGCAUUCCAAUCUCUCUGUCAUUGUGCGAAUGACAUUCUUUGUUGCUCCAAGGAGCAUGAUAUCAUCGGCAAAGUCGAGGUCAGACAGGUACCCAACCCGCACCACGGAAUCUCCACACAUGACAAAGUCGAUCGCUAUAAGAAAUAGGAGAGUGGAUGGAAUGUAGCCUUGCCAUACACUAGUCUCAAUGACAAAGUAGUCGAUGUAGCCCUUCUCCAUUUGAACGCAGCACCUUGACUUGUAGUAAAGGCUCUGAAAGGUGUCGACAAAAUGCUCAGGAAUGCUGAAAUCAUGAAACCACAAUGAACUCCAGUGUAUGUUGUCAAAUGCCUUGACAAAAUCAUUUAGCAUACAUUUAGCAGGGCCAUCAGAUGUUUGACAACGGGAUAACUUCCGUGCUUAAGCAUCUCCACCGCCACUAUAUCCAGUCCCAGAAGGAGCCAUAAUAUCGUCGUGAUCUCACCUGUGUUCACUGCCAGAUCGUUGUCGGGGAUCAGUGGAGGACAAAGAAGUUAGCUGAUUGAACGUCUCCUUAAAGUGCUUGACCCAUCUCCUCACUUGAUCUUCAACCAUCAGUAAUACCUUCUAAUUCUUGUCCUUGAUGAGCACCCUUUGUCCGCUUCUUGUUCUGGUAAGUUUUUGUAUCAUUUCGACCUGCUGCCUCCAAUCCCGUUUGUCUUUUCAACAGCUUUUCUUCACUCCUUGAUCGAGUGUCCAAUACGUUUCUGAUGCUUGUUGCUGGGCAUCAUCCAUUUGCACUAGGUCUGUUAUUUUAGCCUUUCGUCUUGCAUCGAUCAGGAUCCACGUUUGAUCUUGUAUGCACCACGGCGCCUGCCAACAAUGUUCUUGGCACUUUUGAUAAUUGCAUCCUUGAACUUCCUAAAGCAGCUGCCAAUGUGGCCCAUGUCUGCGAGAGGUCAGAAUCAGUUUCUCAGUUCCAACUAGAAUUAAUCAACUCUCCUUCAGUCUUUAAAUUUCUCCACUGCAAAGGAGCAGGGGGACUCUGCACAAGUAGCAAGCACUUCAAUCAAAACCAACACUUUCCAAGGAGGAGGUAAUGAUCUGAGCCUACAUUCAGCACGUCCUCGGCACAUCCAGCAGGACCGAUCUCCACCGCUUACUAAUUCAGACGUAGUCGACCUCGUUAAAGCUCCAACCAUCUGGUGAUCGCUACAUUUUCUUGACGAUGAUACAUAGAAAAGCAUACAUGGUCAGAUAGAAUCCAUGCUGGCCCUCAUUCAUCAACUUAGCAGUCAACUCGAUCGUCAGGUGUUUGGCAGACGUUAUCACAGUUUCGGCCCUUAAACACAACCAUUCUGUCUGUUGACCGGGGUUUGGUGCCUUCCCAGUCAGACUGUCUCACUGACUGCUCUCUUCAAGGUGGUUGCUAUCCAUACUGAUGCUCUUUCUGCAGCUUCUUGCAAUCUCUUGACAGCUUCUCUCCACUCCUUUCCACUCAGAUCAAACUGACACAUAGACCAUCCAACGUACCCUCUGCACCCCACCUCCACUGCAUACAACCACCGAGAUUUCAAGUUAUGUGCCUUGAUCUUGUCAACCAUCUCAGCCUUCUUAGCUUGCUUCAUUUCCUCUGCCUCCCCAACACGGAUCUCCCACAGCACCAUCAGCUCUACAAACACCACCAUCUUCACAGCUUGUGAGAAAAGAACAAUGUCCAGUCAUAGUGUGGUUUGUCCUAGGGAUUGUUCCACUGCCCCAACUGUCACCAUCCAUUGCCAGCACCCAAUCGCUUGCCAUGCUCAGCCAAGUUGCACACUUUUAUUUGGCAGCCCUUCUCAUCAUCAGUAAGGCACCGGCCGAAAUGAAAUUGAUCCUUGGCGUUGGGGGCACAAUUGCCAAUUGGUUCCUGUCAAUUGCAUUCUGGUGGAAUUAUCCCAUUCUGCUACAGUACUUGCAACACCUUCCACAGCUCCCAGAGCACUUUGUGGCAGUUCUUAAACAAUUUGUAUGACAAACUGUUCUGACCUGGUGCACUUCCAGCUCUCGCUUUCUUUACAAAUUCUUGAACCUCUUUCAUCGUGAGUUCUCUGAUCGCAAAAGGAACCCUCGGUCCAGGUGGUCAUAUUAGGUCAUAACACUCUGGCAGUUCCUCAUCCUUACAAGCAAGUAUGUUUUGCGUAAAUGCCCCUGCACGUCUUCUGCUGUCGCCCCCAACACUCCAGAUUUUCCAGUUUCAAACGGACUCUGAGAAACGAUAGGGGUUUCUAAAGAACACCUUCCAGGCUCAUUCUCUUGCUUUUCACUUCUGCACGAUGUCAUUUCUUCGCAUCAUUCAUUAGCUGUCUCAGGCUUUGACAUUUCUCCUCUGUCGCUGCUUUCUUCCACCUCUUCUUCAUGUGUUGUUUCCAGAUUUGUUCAAUCGCUUUUUGCUGCCUUGACAGGUGUUUCUGUGGGACUAGCAGACAUGGCAGUGCCUGCUCUUCUGUGCUAAACUGUUCAGUACAUGUGUAGCAAAUCUUGAUCAAGAGCUGCAGUUUUCUUGAAGCUGUCCUCUGCAGCAUACAACUGAUCGUUGUACUUAGGUCUUCAUUAAGUUGGUUCCAGCUUGCCUUGUUCUCACUCUUUGGCCAAUGUAUCCUCGGCUGCCUUACAAGUUGCACAUCCUCCACUAAAGUUUUACAGGCACUGUGGUUUGCAUCUGGUCCAGAAUUUUCAUCUGAUUUAUCUGUUGAUUCCUCGACAGGAUGGUGUGAAGUCACAGCAACUGGCUCACUCACCACAUCAACCAUCUCUGGCUCUUGUCCAACUGACCAUUUGGUCUGCAUUGAUGUACUACGACAUUGUGUUUUGGUCUGAUGAAUUUUCACUCCUUUUACUACUUUAAAUGAUUUCUUGCAAUUUUGGCAUUUGAUAAGCCAAAGACGGCCCUUUCCGAAAAUGGGAGCCAGUCACCUACCCAACCUGGCUCAAGGUGGAAAGAUGGUUGCGGCAAGUUGGUAGCCUCUCAUGGCAUCCAUGCUGGUUAGGUGGGUGCACAGCAACCACUGGAGGUAAAGACCCCUCCCGCUGUAGCUGUAGAAUCUUGGGGCAUGUCUUAAAAUUCCACACUGAGACUUGCUUAUAACUGGUAUCCCUGGUGAUGAGGGUGGGCUUCCCUGAUCUCUGGCCUUUCAAUAUAUAUAUAUUGCAGAAUUGGAGAAGUUCAAGGUUUGAAAGUAAAACCUUGAAUCAGAGGGCCUUAAAGUUAAGUUAGCUAAGACUAAAGUUGUUAUUCGGAAGAAAGGAGAUAAGACUCUCAUUCUGGCUGGCAAAUGGCCCUGUUCAAUAUAUAGGAAAGGAGUGGGAUGUAAUUCCAUUCGCUGUACCAAGUGUAAGUUAUGGACGCAUAAGAGAUGCAGUGGAAUCAUGGGAAGGUCACUUUUGUGUGUGACAGAUGCACAGGAACAGUAAGUACUAAGAGCACGAGGGUCUUAAACUCUCUCAGAUGCCCUGGAGGCUCUCUUGAGGUUGUAGAUAGUUUCUGUUAUUUAGGUGACCAAAUUAGUAAUGGUAGUGGAUGCUCUGAAAGAGUUGUUUCUAGAAUAAGAACAGGGUGGAGGAAGUUCAGAGAACUACUACCUCUGUUGGCAGCAAAACGGCUCUUUCUCAGGGUGGAAGGUAGAUUGUAUGAUGCUUGUGUGAAAAUGGCUGAGUUACAUGGUGGUGAGACAUGGGCUCUGAUGGCGGAGGACAUUUGAAAGCUGGAGAAGAAUGAAGGUAGCAGGCUCCAUUCAAUUUGCAGCAUCAGUGUGCCUGACCGAAAAAGCACAACUGUGUUGAGAGAAAAGUUAGGCAUAAGAGGGAUUAAAUGUGGUCUGCAGGAGAGGAGACUGCAUUGGUUUGGACAUGGGAUGUGUAUGAGUGAAGACAAUUGUAUACAGAAGUGGCUGUCACCGAAAGUGGAUGAUAUCUGUGGAAAAGGGAGACCCAGGAAGACAUGGGAUGAAGUGGUGAGGACUGAUCUUAGGAUGUUGGGUCUCAAGGAAGAAAUGACAAUGGACUGAGAUGUUUGGAGAUAUGAAGUUCUAGAAAAGACCUAUCCAUGAAACUGAGUGCGAGAAGAGUUGUGCCCCACCCACAUCGAACAACACACUUUUUUUUACCCAUUCUAUCCUAAGCAAUCAAACUAAAACUCCUCUUCUCACUGCGUCUUUCUCUUCCUCAUAAAUCAUGAUUGUUUUCCAAUCCCCUUUCUUGCCCUCACUGCCCUGCUGCUCCCCACACCCACACCCUAUUUUUCUAACCAGGUUCUAUGCUCAUAUUCUUGUUACUUGUGAGUACACCCUAGCACUACACCAUCUCUCUUCUGCUCUCUCUCUCACACACUUUUGCUGUUUCUUACUCUUUCCCUUUGCUCACUCUCUCUCCAACUAAUCUGAAUUGUUGACAAUCUCUACUAAUCCCUAUCUGCUGACCUAACAACUACUCAUUCUUGAUAUGAUCUGGAUGAUUGUCUGUGAUUGCUCCUCAUCCACACAGUCACAUCAGGGAAAUCCAGUUAAUAUCUGUCAAACAGCUGGAAGUUUCUGAGAUGGUUUUUGAGGCAUUUGUACCCCGCCCCUUCUGCUAUGCAUCUGGCCCACACAGUUGUUUUGUGUGUCCUAAACACAAUUCCAGUCCACCCCUACCACCACCAUCAGUACUAAAGUAUGAGACAUCUCCAGGAAUGUUUCUAGACACUUGAAGAAAUUUGGUUUUCCAGCCCCUGUUGGGGUAUAAACAGCCAGCAGUCUUUGCUGUUGUUCAUGACCUGGACCACCAACCUGCCAUCUGGGUCCGAACAGAUUCUCUCUUCUUUCGGCUCUAAGGAUUUUUAGAAUAGCACUGCUACCCUGCUUCCCAAUCCCAACAAACCACAAGAUGAGAAUAUCUCAUAGUCGUCAAAGAUGAGUGCUAGCAUAUGCUCUCUCCAGAAAUCCUCGUCAUGCUGAUUUCUACCACAUCUAUGUUGAGCAAGUAGACUUGCUUUCAAACGGAACCCAGGUCUGAAGCAUUUCCGCAGUCUACACUAAUUAAAAUCGUUUAGGUUAGAGGAAAUAAAAUGAAGAGACUACUUACCUUGGUCUUCAUGGAUGGCUGUUGAGAUAGCUUUCUUUUUCAGUGAGAGGUGGGUGGGUAAGAUUACUCAGGUUUUUUAAAAUUUUUUUUGAGAGGUACUUACUAAACCCUCUGAUGUAUUUGGGGAAUUUCUCUUUUAAGUUCAGAUAGAUAUUCAUUUUGAUUUGUUUCAGAUUUAUGUCCGAGGGUGUUUUCAAGAGGAGUUCUUCCUCAAUCAGUCCAAUGUUGCUUUUCUGAACAACCAUAAAGUUGAUAAAAGAGGUAUGUACAUGAAUGUGGAGCUGUUGGUCAUGAUGUUUGUGUUUGUGUUUGUUUCUGUGACUUUUUAUUAAUUUUGUGAAAGUGGUUUUAAAAGUUGGUUUUCUUGCUGUGAUGAAGGUGUUGAUGUUUUUGGUAUUUAAUUUUGUGAUGGAUUUUCUCUAUUCCCAUCAUAUCUGAAGGCCAUCAAUUCGAGCCAACCUCUGAGUCUUCCUCUUAUCUCUGACAAAAGCCUUUUGGUGCAGUUUCAAUAAACCUUCAUCUCCUAAUGAGGUCUUUGCUUUUGUGACACCUGAGUUAGCGAAAAGAGGCAGAUGUGAGCUAGUUUUAGUUUUCUUACCUGGGUACUGUAUGAAUGCGUGCAUGAUGGUUUCAUCGGCCUGCACGCAUCUUGGCUGAUGGCACUUCUGUACCUGUAGCAUUUAUCUGGAACAUGCAAGGUUCCUCAGUAGCAGUGCUAGGCCAGGGAUUUCUGGAAGCUAUCCAUUGGUCCCAGUUCAAAAGUUAUCUGGAAGAGAUCAGCUAGCUGAUAAUCUCUGACAUCCAAAGUCUCCCCAAGAACACCGUUGCACCUUCCCUCCACUAAUCUUCUACAGAACACUAAAGUAGACUUUCCACCUAUCACAAUGUUUGACAGGCUGAGGAUUGUGAGCACUUGAAGACAUUCUACUUUCCAAAUGCCUUCUCUUGGUCUCUUUUUGACCAAGACUGCAGCUUUGUUGAAGAAACCAACUGGGGAAAAAACAUGUCCGGUGAACUGUGACCACACCUGUUCUCUGUCAAGGAAGCAUUGGAGAUGUAGCCUUAGUGCAUGUUUGUACAUCAUCAGCCACAGCAUGCCCACUUUACCACACAGUGGAUGUUGAUAGCAGAUAGAUUACCUGGCCAUCAGGACAUGUCCUUUUCACAAGAAGCGAUAGAGUAUACAAUCCAGUGUAUUGAGACAGGGACAAGGCACAGUAGUCAAGCUGUAGAAGAGGACAAAUGUGAUGUACAUAUUAGCUACCUCUGCACGACCUUUCAGCGAUAGAUUCCUUUUGGCCUAUUUCUGGGUGAGAGUAGUAACUCUGUGCAUUACGUCAUCCUAGUUUUUGUCUAUCUGGAUAUCCAAACCAAACCCCAAGCAGUUUAACCAUUUCGUCCGUCCAGCAUGAACAACACAGUUGGGCAGCAUGGACUUGCUUUUCCAGGUGCCAAGCUGAAAUCCCACCAACUUUUCAUGGUUAAUCUUUGCUUCUGAUACUACCUCAUGGUCACUGAGAGCAGUGCCAAUCAUCCCAAUGUCUGGUGAACUGUGACACCACGACAGUGAUAUCGUCGGUAUAUACCACUAUGGAUCUCACACAUCCUAGAUCCUACAGGAUGUCCCUCAAUGUUUCCAGCUUGUGUAGUAUUGGUUUAUAGUGUGCUACUAAAGUAAUAGGUAAACAAUGUGAAAAGUUAAUGUUACAGUAAAAAUGCAAUGUAAAAGGUCCAAUUCAUGUGCUUUAGUGAAGCAGGAGAAAUAACAUCAGAAGGCAAUUUAAAAAGAAACAUUGUAAUUUAUUUAGUGAAGAACAAGUACUGACAAGUAGCGAGAUAUGUGGCCUGUAAGUGUAUGUGUAAGUCAGGGUUUGAAUGAAUGAAUUCAAUAGUAGUAAGCUGUGAUGAGCUAGCGGUUGGAAAUAAUAAUAAGCUAGUAGUUGGAAGUAAUUACGAGUUAGCAGGAACAAGAAUGAACUCCUCGUGAUAUUGAUAGCAUUGUGUUGAAAUGGACAGACAGUAAGAUGACUUGCAAAGCGAAUUUGAUGUAAACACAAUAGGAUGUCUGUGAUGUGGUCUGUGUGGUGAGUUUUAUAUAAUCAAGAAGGUUGUGAUUCUAAGCCAGUGCGAGAAACAAGGAGCUGUUCAUAAUGAAGAAGUGGUGUUAGUCAUCCUGUGUCCUUCCACUGACUGUUGAGAAUAGAUGUUACUUGCAUUGAAGUCUGCUGCUAAUUAACUAAAGACAUGAUUACUGCUGCACGGGUGCCUGCUGUUUUUCUUAAUACAAGGCAAGCUUUGAUUAGCUGAAGUUGCCAUGGUAUAACCGUGUUAAUACAUGACAACAAACUAUGGCUCCCUGACUUACUACAGGUUUGAGAGUCAGUAUAUACAAGGACAAGACAGGGCAACCUUGGCGGACUAAGCUCAUGAUGUUGAAUGGUUCUGAGAGGUGACCAUUCACUCUGACCACUGAACAGAUGUUGCUGUGCAUGGCUGUGACCCCACCCCUGAAAACAGAUUCAAAACUGACUGCCUUUGAACCCUAUAGGUGCUUUAGAUUGAUCUGAAUUGAUCAGGACCCUAACCCAUGCCUGGUUAUUUAGCUACUUUUUCUAUAUGUCAUAUGAAAGGGAGGUUAUCAUUGAUGGAUCUUUUUAUGAUGGCACACAUCUCCACCUCCCAACCUGACCACCAACGACAAAUGCCAACAUUACAGCUAACACCUUAGCCAAAAUUUUGAAUUCUGCAUUUAGAAGAGUUAAGGGCAUAAAGUUCUCAAUAUAGUCCUCUCUGUUUGGGUUUUUUCUCCACAAUGCCAAUGCUCCUUAGCUCACAAAACUGAGAAUUCUUCCAUUCUGUUGCCAAUUGCAGUAAACAUUUGCCAAAAGGUCACCGAAAAAGUCUGGCAUGUAAACGUAAAGCUUGUGGGGCAGACCAUCCAAACCAGGGGAUUGACCCAUUGUGCAGCUGGUCAUUGCCUCCUGUAUUUCAGGAUCUGUCAUCAGCCUUUCACAACACUUUGCCUCCAUCGCCAAGUGAAGGAAGUUAAGUCCAUCCUGUGAUCUGACUCACCACUACUCCUGAACGGUUGAGUGAAGUUCUAUUGAAAAGUUGCACACAUCUGUUUGGGUUCGAUUAACAUGUGCCCAUCAUAGUUUGGUAAAGAUUGGAUUGUGGAUUUCUUACCAUGUCGUGCUUCUGCCACUUGGGCCCAUUGAAUAGCUUUUGUCCCUUCAUGUGUAAGAGUACAUGCCUUAGCUCUGUCAACACAGCCUUUGUGUUUUGCAUUGAAGAAUUAGUUGAUUCUGAAUCUAAUUGUGAGCAUGUCAGUCAUGAUGCCUUUUCUAAAAACCUUAUCUAACUUCCUGUCUAUCUCUACCUCUACUCUGAUUCUUUCUACUGACAGUCCUUUGCUAAACCCUAUCAAUUCUACUCUUAUUGCCCUUUUCAAUGCAAACCACCAUAUAUUGUUGAUGAUUACUCCCAUCAAUGCUCCGCUGGUUUCUGAAAUCUUUGCAGCUUCUAGUAACCGAGUCCCUUGUCUAUGUAGGUUAUCUAAGUCAGCUGUGCAGAUCGUAAUCAGAGUAUUGGUUCAUGACUGCAAUCAGUUAAAUGUCUCCAGUAAUUUUAGCUCAAAUUUUGUCAAGAAGUUAGCAUAAUUAACUACCACAGGGGUAUCCAUGGCAACUUCAUCUGGUGGUAAAAAGUUUUGUUGAAAUUUCAUUGUGUUGUUUUAACUUCAGUAGAAAUCAGAUGGAAUGCAUUUGUUGGACCAUUUUCCAAAAGCAUCCAUGCUUGGGGCAGUGGGUAGAAAGCCAUUUAGCCACUCCAUAAGUUAAGUCAGCCUACAAAUUGGUAGCAGCGAAAGAAAAUUUUCAAAAUUUUUAUGCAUUUUUGGAAGGCCAUAAUAUACAAGUGCUGUUUCUUUUUUGUUUGCUGUGUUUUAGAUUCAGUGUCAUUUAUAAAAUUUUUCUCCAUUUCCAAAAUCACCUUGUUAAGUUCUUUUUUUUGUAAAUUGGGGUUUGGAUCAGUAUCUAAUUUUUCAUAAAAAGUUUUGUCACUUAAAGAUUCUUCAGAAAAUGGAAUGUCCAUAUUUUGGUUCACCACUAUGAUUGCUUGGUUUUUGGCUUUUCUUCCCUCACUCUGGUUCUUUGCAAUAGCUCCAUCCCACACUCCACUUCAAUAUUCUCGAUCCAUUUUGCAGUCUUGUCUUUCACUGUCCUUACUGCUCAUACAAUUACUGGUGUGAUUGUUACUUUCUUCAUUUUCAUUUUCCACAUCCUAACCUUCUUUAUUUUCUAUUUGUGUCAAAUAGCCAUGACAGGCUAUAAGGGGACAUGUCUUAUAAAUUUUGUCAACAACUGUAAUGUCUGUUUGUGCAAGAAAAUGCCACAAAUUUCACCAACACUCUGAUUCAAAGAUUCUCUCAGAUUGGUCUUCAUACCCUUUCCCAUGUUCAAAUAUCAUCUCUGGUAAAGUUUCCAAUAUAUAACUCUACUAACUUGAUCAUGUUACCACUUCUUGUAUACUUUCUGUACAAGCCUCAGCUAUUCACAAACUAAAUGUGCCACCAUCUCCUCAUAUAUACCACAUAAUCUACACAGAGGAAGCAUUGCUUCUCCAAACACAUGCCUGCUCUUGGCAUUUGUUGUAAUAGAUUGGGCUUUAGCAGCCAUUUGGGACUCUGUUUUUUUCUCUCUGAUCCAGUUUUAAGGAUUCUCUCCUCUUUCUGUUGGCUUCCAAAACUGACCUAUUUCUAUUUUUCUCUUGAUGCCUGUUAAUUAUUUAAUGGUAUACUCAAAUGUAUUGCAUUUAGAGUCUGUCCUUGAUGCUAGCUCUCAACUAGUUUCUUUAGACAUUGACGAUCCUUCAAACAAUUGUUGAUUAGCAAAAGAUUUCUGUAUUAAUACAAUUCUUGUAGAUACUUGAAUAUCAUGUCGGAAACUACAUAGUUUGUUGGUAAUCAUACCUGGAGUACCAAUAAUUACUGAAUUACUUUUGCAGAAACGCUCCACAGUCUUUGAAUUUCCCUAAGUCUUAUUAGUUUCCUAUUUCUUUUUUCCUGUUCUUUAAUCAUAUUAGCAAUGAAUGCAAAUUUAAAACAUGAUGACCAGUUACAUCAUUCUUUUAUUACAUCUUAAUGUGGUACUUAAUGAUAAAUGAAUCUAUCAGCCAGUUGUAACAAACUUAAGUUUAGCCACACAUCUUGUUAAUGUUUGGUUUUGUCAUAGAAUCAUUGGAAAGUUUUGCAGGCUGUGCACAAGGGUUUGAAAAUAGACUUGUUAGUAUGUCGAGUGUUUGCAUUACUCAGGAAUAUCUUAAAUUAUAAAGCAGCAAUUGUGGCUCUAAGAGACAGUAUUUCUUGAGAUUAUUCAAUAAUGAAAUAUAGUGGGGUUCAGCAGAAUGUGGAGAAACAAAAAGAAAUCAAUUGAAAUAUGUUUUGUUUUUAAUGUUUAUCUGAAUUUUCUUGUAAUAGAUCCUAGAUGACCACUCUAGAAUUGAGCAUUUAAAUACACUCAAUCAAAAACAGAACAAAAUAUGUCUACUAAUUCAUCUUUCAUGUUUUCUAUGAGAAAAUAAAACCAAUUCUAAUGUCAGAAAGUGAACAUUAUUAACCUUCUGCAUCAAUUUCUUAUUGUAGCAAUUUAGGGCUCCAUUUCACAGAAUAAACUGUGAUGUGUCCUGUUAGGCAAAGCAUGUUUAACCCUUUUGAUACCCACCUACAUGCAACCACCCUUGUUUCUAUCAUACAAAUUCUGUUUUUAAGUCAUCUAAAAACUUUCCAUAAAAAUUCCAUAUUGAUUCAUGUUCUAAUCACAGCUUAGUAACGAGUUCUUUUACUAGAUUCUUUAUUACUUUCAAAAUUAAUUGAAACCAAAACCGUCCAUGCUGACAGAAAUGCAGCAACAACAUAAUUCAAAGCAUUACUUCUCCAUUUCAUGGUUGUAUUUAUCAUGGAUUCAUCUAUAACUUCUCACUCUCAAUUUUUUUGGCUGUCUUAAUUGUCAGCCUCAUAGUAUCAUCAGGUUCAAACAUCCCGUUGACUUACCCAACUAGAUAUGGCUGUUGUAGACUGUCGCUGAAUACAUCAGAGGUCAAAGAAACACAGAACAAGACCAAGCUUUAUCUUUUUAAUGGAAUUGGUAAAACCAUGUGAAAUUCUUCCAUUUUUAAAAAAAAAGUUGUUCAGAUUCCUCUGGAAAUUAUUGUUUACAGUGUAGACAAUUCUCCUCUUAUAAACUAUUGGUGCAAGUAGUGACCUACUCUUAUGUACUGUUAGUGUGGUCUUUAUAGUGGCCAACUCUUCUUAUGAACUAUUGGUGGGCUCUAUGUGGUUAACAUAGUAGCCAUCUCUUCUGUUUAUUGUGUAAACAACUUUAAUGAAAAUUAAAAAAAUUGAACAACUU